UAUUAUUUUUAGAGUAUAAUUGGAGGGCAGUCUGGUGCCAGCAGCCGCGGUAAUUCCAGCUCCAAUAGCGUAUAUUAAAAUUGUUGCAGUUAAAAAGCUCGUAGUUGAAUUUCUGCUGCAUCGUCGCAUCUCUUGCUGAGUGCUUCGUUUCGGCUUAUUUCGGAUUGAUUUUUUCUUUCCGGAUGAUUACUUUGAGAAAAUUAGAGUGCUCAAAGCAGGCUUUUGCCUUGAAUAGUUUAGCAUGGAAUAAUAAAGUAGGACUUUGGUUCUAUUUUGUUGGUUUUAGGUACCAAAGUAAUGGUUAAUAGGAACAGUUGGGGGCAUUCGUAUUUAACUGUCAGAGGUGAAAUUCUUAGAUUUGUUAAAGACGAACUACUGCGAAAGCAUUUGCCAAGGAUGUUUUCAUUAAUCAAGAACGAAAGUUAGGGGAUCGAAGACGAUCAGAUACCGUCGUAGUCCUA
rnacentral:rRNA from 1 species